rnacentral:rRNA from 1 species
ACUCCUACGGGAGGCAGCAGUCGAGAAUCUUCCGCAAUGGGCGAAAGCCUGACGGAGCGACACCGCGUGCAGGAUGAAGGCCUUCGGGUUGUAAACUGCUGUCACGCUUUAGGAACGAACGGGUGUCAAUAGCACUCGGACUGACCAAGGCGAAAGGAAGCACCGGCUAACUCUGUGCCAGCAGCCGCGGUAAGACAGAGGGUGCAAACGUUGUUCGGAAUUACUGGGCAUAAAGAGCACGUAGGUGGUUCGCUAAGUCACGUGUGAAAUCCCCCGGCUCAACCGGGGAAUUGCGCGUGAUACUGACGAACUCGAGGCGGGUAGGGGUGAGCGGAACUCCAA